rnacentral:tRNA from 1 species
GGGACUGUAGCUCAGUGGUUUUAGAGCAUCCGACUUUUAAUCGGAGGGUCGAAGGUUCAAAUCCUUCCAGUCCCACCA